rnacentral:rRNA from 1 species
UGAGUUCUCCCUGACUCCUUGAGAGUCCUGAAGGAACGUUGAAGACGACGACGUUGAUAGGCCAGGUGUGUAAGCGCAGCGAUGCGUUGAGCUAACCGGUACUAAUGAACCGUGAGGCUUAACCUUACAACGCCGAAGCUGUU